rnacentral:ncRNA from 1 species
AGACUCUGGAGAAUCCCGUUCAAAACGGGUGCCGAAGGUGUAAGGCGCAAGCCGAAUCUCUCAGGCAAAAGGACAGAGCG